rnacentral:rRNA from 1 species
UACAGAGGUGGCAAGCGUUGUUCGGAAUUACUGGGCGUAAAGGGCGCGUAGGCGGCCUUCUAAGUCGAACGUGAAAUCCCCGGGCUCAACCCGGGAACUGCGUCCGAUACUGGGAGGCUUGAAUCCGGGAGAGGGAUGUGGAAUUCCAGGUGUAGCGGUGAAAUGCGUAGAUAUCUGGAGGAACACCGGUGGCGAAGGCGGCAUCCUGGACCGGUAUUGACGCUGAGGCGCGAAAGCCAGGGGAGCAAAGCGGG